UGUAGACAUCCAUGUCUAUUGAGAGGCGGCUGAAAUUGCAUACAAAUGGUCUGACGAGUUUUCUUUCUUUUCCAAAAUUUUCGAAUGUAUAAUUGAUGAAUAAUGUGUUUGCUUAGACAGUGCUGAAACGUGGUUUCCAUGACCCCCUAUUGAAAUGAAUACUCAUCUUGAAUCACAAAUGUAUGAAAAACGAUCAUGUUUCAUCUAAUAUUGGUGCAUUUCAGCCG
rnacentral:misc_RNA from 1 species